rnacentral:misc_RNA from 1 species
AGCAGCCGCGGUAAUUCCAGCUCUAAUAGCGUAUAUUAAAGUUGCUGCAGUUAAAAAGCUCGUAGUUGAAUUUCGGGAUCAAUAUGUUGGUCGUGCCUUGGUACGUACUAGCUCAUUGGUUUCCCCUUCUGACGAACCAUGAUGUCAUUAAUUUGAUGUCAUGGGGAAUCAGGACUGUUACUUUGAAAAAUUAGAGUGUUUAAAGCAGGCUCGCGCUUGAAUACAUUAGCAUGGAAUAAUGAAAUAGGACAUUUGAUUCUAUUUUGUUGGUUUCUAGGAUCGAUGUAAUGAUUAAUAGGGAUAGUUGGGGGCAUUAGUAUUCAAUUGUCAGAGGUGGAAUUCUUGGAUUUACUGUAAGACUAACUACUGCGAAAGCAUUUGCCAAGGAUGUUUUCAUUAAUCAAGAACGAAAGUU